rnacentral:rRNA from 1 species
GAUGAACGCUAGCGGGAGGCCUAAUACAUGCAAGUCGAGCGGUAGAGUGACUUCGGUUGCUUGAGAGCGGCGAACGGGUGAGUAACGCGUACACAAUCUACCUUUAAGAGGGGAAUAGCCCUGGGAAACUGGGAUUAAUGCCCCAUGGCAUCACGAGACGGCAUCGUUUUGUGAUUAAAGCUGAGGUGCUUAGAGAUGAGUGUGCGUCUGAUUAGCUAGUUGGUGCGGUAACGGCGCACCAAGGCGACGAUCAGUAGGGGGCGUGAGAGCGUGGACCCCCACACGGGUACUGAGACACGGACCCGACUCCUACGGGAGGCAGCAGUAAGGAAUAUUGGUCAAUGGAGGAAACUCUGAACCAGCCAUCCCGCGUGCAGGAAGAAUGCCCUAUGGGUUGUAAACUGCUUUUAUCUGGGAAGAAAAGUCGGGAUUUAUCCUGAUCUGACGGUACCAGAGGAAUAAACACCGGCUAACUCCGUGCCAGCAGCCGCGGUAA